ensembl:lncRNA
GUCCUUUCCUGUGAUGCAUUUUUGCUUUUGUACUUUGACUACUCUUAACAGAGUAUGUUUGCUUUGUUUAGUGCUUACAAGAUAUAUUUUUUACUGUAAAAAUUUUCUAUGUCCUUAUAUGCUACAUAUUGCUCUAGAAAGAAGCCUGCAGUUGUGUGUUGCAUUUUACAUAUUCUGAAAGUCAUAGUAUGUUCUUGAAGUAUUUUCCAUUCGAUCCACCAUUUUUUUAAUAUUCCUUUCUUCCCUCCAUUUUAAAUUAAUAUAAACAACUACAAAUUAUGCAAAGUACAGCAGAUGUAAAAAUAACACUACUAUGUGGGGGGGGAGUCCUUAAAGUACAUUUCACUGAUAGAGAAGUCCUUCCACAGAAAAUGACACAUAAAAUGAUGAAUAGAAGAUUAAUAGGAGAAAAUGACUUGAAAAAAGUUUAGAAUAGGGCUAUGAAUAGAGAAAAUAUCAUGAUCAAAAUUCCAGAGACAAGAAAGAGUUUGGCCUGAAUGGCUACAGCAUAGAAUGGAAGAAGUUACAUUAGAUGAAGUUAAAAACUUUUUAAAGCUAUCUUAUGGAAACUAAUAUAUUUGGAGGUAAAGAAUUUGUAUGUAUAAAAUUAUUACAACCAUAGAUCUAAAUUUUCUAAUCAAAAUCUAAAAACAUCCCAAGAACGCAGCACUCAUCCAAACAUACUCUACAAAAUGCUCUUACAUCGCACACUCAGUUUAGUUCAGUUUAGUCGCUCAGUCACUCAGUCGUGUCCGACUCUUUGCGACCCCAUGAAUCGCAGCACGCCAGGCCUCCCUGUCCAUCACAUAUGCACCCUAACACUCUUACAUUCUUCAGAUCAGUCAGAUGAGUCAUUCAGUCAUGUCUGACUCUUUGCCACCCCAUGAAUCGCAGCACGCCAGGCCAGAUCUCCCUGUCCAUCACCAACUCCCCAAGUUCACUCAAACUCAUGUCCAUCGAGUCGGUGAUGCCAUCCAGCCAUCUCAUCCUCUGUUGUCCUCUUCUCCUCCUGCCCCCAAUCCCUCCCAGCAUCAGGUAUCAUGUGAUCCAGCAAUCCCACUUUGGGCUAUUUAUUUAAAAGAACUGAAAUCAGGAUCUUCAAGAGGUAUCUGCACUCCUGUGUUCACUACAGCAGUAUUCACAAUAGCU